CAAGUAAACAAACUCAAAUCCUAUUCAGACCAUUCAUGAUUCCAGCAAUAACCAAGUUUUUUCGUAACAAUAAGACUGCAUUUACAAUGCAAAUCUUAAUGCACAGAUCAUAUUUUUUUGACUAUAUUCAUUUUUUGUUCUGAUCUUUUUAUAUUUACAUAAGACACUAUUCAUAUCUGAUAUCGGUGUUACAAUAAUUUGCAAAACUACAGUUAAUAUGAGUGUCAUGAUUUGCACUUGAGUUUUGUAUCGACUUAAGCCAGGGUCACUGCCAAUUUAGGCAUGUUUUAAUUAUGACACUUAAACAAUUGUAUAUGUACUUCGAUAAAGGUUUUUGCAAUCAUGGAAACAUAAGUGAAUCGCAGACAGCAUUCUUCUUUUACGAAUGUAAAAUGGCUGGAGUAGUGAUGUCACUAGCUAAAUUAAUUUUCAUUUGACCUCCCCCACAGAAAGACACAGCACAUCAUUAUAUCGUUGGCUCCGCCCACUGGUGUUCAGUCUAAAGUAGUAGUUGUUGACAAUCAUAAAGUUGUAAUAACAGUAAGAUUGUGAUGUCAGACAAACAUUGUGCUGUUGCUGGCUGUGGGAAAUUAGUGUCUUUGUAAGGGUCGCAAAUAAUUUGAAAAUAUUUAUGUUUCUAAAUAUGCCCCCCUACCAUGAACUAAACUGGACUGUUGCAGAGACCAAGUGUAGUAGGGUACACUACUAUGCAGAAUUCUGGCCUGGUGUUUGGUCCCCCCUUUCUCUGGCUUGUGUCUCCAUCAUCAUUACACUCUUGUCAGUGUAAUAGUAUCGUCGUCUGCAUACCAGGACUUUGUUACUCAGCUGUCCCUUCUCCUUCAAGCUACAUUUUUGUCAAGCUGCAACAAGUUGGAAUACAUAAUUAUUAACGUUUAAUGAUUUUGAUGUAUGAAAUAUGUAACAAAAGCAAAAAAUGUAUAGACAUUCUAUUAAGAAAUUACCUUUUUGUUGUUUGUUUACUGACCUUUCAACCAUAUUGCAUUUAUAAUUGAUCAUCAUACCUUUGGUCUACUGUUAACAGGUUACUGUAGAAAACAAAGUCAAACAAAAAAGAGAGAAAAAAUUAUAAAUGCUGAAUGUGUCUCAUCUUAAAUACAUUGUUGUUGUUUUUGUUUCAUUGAUUUUGGAUGUUUUGAUGAUUUAAGGAAAAUUUACGUAGCAUAUAUAUUGAUGUUUUAAAUCAGAGUUUGUUAAUGACACUUAAUCAUUAACAAACAUUUAAAAAGCUUUAUUACAAUACUAAUUGAUAAUAUUCAUGUAAUAAUCUUGUUUUGUAACACCCUAAAUCACUGAGCGCACAAACGCUACCCCUGUUACAAGCAUGAGUGAUUGACUUCAGGCACACAUGCGCAGACAUUGAAGUACCGCGAGAGUGAUUCAAAAGCCCACGAAACAGUGUAAUCACGCGGUACUGUGAUGUCAUACUGGUUAAGGCUAAGCCACGUGAAGCCGGACACAAGGGCUUUGGGCUGGAGCCUGUGGCUUUUAAGGCUUCGUGUCUCAUCGCGUUAAACGAUCGCAGAACGAUUUAUUUCUCUUUUUCACCUCGAUCUUUGGCCUCGUGUGAUUUACCAAAACCAACAUGUGAAGUUACAACGCUGACGAAGGAGUUUCAUCAGUAGAGUGUGUCCUGGAAAACGUGUGCUCGGAAACAUGCAGAAUACAGGAUUUACAGAGCCGACCUUGAGGCACCCACUGAUGGAUAAUCUGUUUACCUAAAAACAGCCCACCACAAUCCAUGUUUACCAGCUGUGAAAGUGCAGGCCAAAAAUCUUCCUUCACCUGUGGGCCUCUACCCACAUGUAGAUAAGCAUUUCAGGAGAAACCUGCCUGUGAUCUGCUAAGAUGCACAGCUUCAACUCUGGCCCAUUGUCAUCCCAACACCUCAUCUGCCAUCAGUUUCGUUUAGUGUCGGUCUAUUGCAAAAGUUCUUAUAAACUUUAAAUGAGACUUUGUGUUAAGCAGGGGUUUCCAAACUUUUCAUUCCACAACAUAUUAAGCCCAGGAUACACAGCAGGAUUUUUGCAAUCCAAUAAGACCUUAUCACACUGUGUGACAAGGAUUGUUUAAACUUCAGCAGUAGACUGUCGAUGAAGACACCUAUUGCAUCUGAAGCUGCGACAUCUGUCAUCAACAUGCGCUAGUGGUAAACAAAUACAGGUAUGCAGGUCGUAGAAGCAAACACAUUGUUGAUGUGCGUUGAUCAUGCUGAACUUCUUACACUGUCAUAAAACUAUCGUAGGUGACUUUGGUCCAAGCACUGGGAAAACAGACGUCUUUAAACCUCUCACACUGUAUGAGAUAGGACCACCAAUUAAGAGCCACGAUCACAGAAAUCUACACGAUUGUUUCACGAUUGGUAAUCUUUCAUCUGGGACAGCCAAAAAUCGUGCCGUGUAUUAUGGGCUUUAGACAGGUGUAAUCUUAUAGUAUAUCAAAACCAUUGCUAAUAAUUAAUUGGACAAACCAUCACUACAAUGCAACACUCACUAUCUUACAGUGCGACCCACAAGUGGGUCUUCACCCACAGUUUAAAAACCCUGAGUAUGAGAAAGAGUAUGUUGUAUUGUAAUUAAAGUCACAUCUAAGCGUUAUGGAACAGUUUGUCAUUAUAUUCACAGUAUUACAUGGUUCUUUCAGCAGUUACUACGUUACAGUGCUCUUAAAGUGUCCUGAUCAGCUUUGGGUCUUGUGAAGUAAUGUAAUGAGAACUUGAUCAAUAGCUUUGCAGUAUUUUGUUACACUGUGGCUGUAAUCAUAUUAACACAUAGGUUAAACAUUUUAUUCAAAUUUGGUAAACAAACUAGUCAAUAUAAUUCAUGCUGUGAUGCUGGAUUAAACCUGGUCAAUUGAUUGUG